rnacentral:rRNA from 1 species
GCUUGCUUCUUUGCCGGCGACCGGCGCACGGGUGAGUAACACGUAUCCAACCUGCCCUUUACUCGGGGAUAGCCUUUCGAAAGAAAGAUUAAUACCCGAUGGCAUAAUGAUUCCGCAUGGUUUCAUUAUUAAAGGAUUCCGGUAAAGGAUGGGGAUGCGUUCCAUUAGGUUGUUGGUGAGGUAACGGCCCACCAAGCCUUCGAUGGAUAGGGGUUCUGAGAGGAAGGUCCCCCACAUUGGAACUGAGACACGGUCCAAACUCCUACGGGAGGCAGCAUG